rnacentral:rRNA from 1 species
UACGUAGGGGGCUAGCGUUGUCCGGAAUCAUUGGGCGUAAAGAGCGUGUAGGCGGCCAGGUAGGUCCGUUGUGAAAACUCGAGGCUCAACCUCGAGACGUCGAUGGAAACCAUUUGGCUAGAGUCCGGAAGAGGAGAGUGGAAUUCCUGGUGUAGCGGUGAAAUGCGCAGAUAUCAGGAGGAACACCGGUGGCGAAGGCGGGUCUCUGGGCCGAUACUGACGCUGAGGAGCGAAAGCGUGGGGAGCGAACAGG